rnacentral:misc_RNA from 1 species
UCGCCGUUACUCUGUUUCAAUGAGUAAAGUUUACACAGGGCCUGUCCUGCUAUUUUCCAAGCAAACCCACAAUAUUUCCCAUCUCCUCGGGCUUUGGCAUAGUCAUAAGAGAUGUUAUAGAUGGCAAGAGCUUCUUCGAAUAUAUCCUCGUCUCUCCUCUUGCUCUCCUCAAAUUCUGCUGCCUCGUAUAAUAUCUCUUUAUAUUUUUUAAUCACUUCAUUUGCAGCCUCAUUUUUGGUCUCUGUAUUUGACUUUAAAGCAUCUGUCAUGUCUCGCCUAUAUUGAUCAUAGAGUUCCUUCCAUUUCAUCAGGCAUGACUCAGAGACUUCGUCAUUGAAACAGUGGAGUUUCCAAACUUCAUUUUUUGGUGUAUCUUCUUCCAUGUAUAAUUUCACUUUGUCGUAUAUUAAUCCCAGGAUAGAAGUAGACUUGUAAGAAAUCUCUUCUUUCCUUUCCAAAUGAUGUGGGAAUAAUUCAGCCUUCAAUUGUUCNNNNNNNNUUUUUCCCCCCUUUCUUUGGUGCAUCAAGAGCAUCAUAGUAUUUAUCAAUUAACUCAAACAUAUUCUUCUUCAUAUUCAGUUUCUCAUCAUGUCUGUCUUAAUCAAAAGCCUAUCCAUCAUUGCCAACCAACUAUCAGCUGCCACACCAACAGUGUAACUUGGUUGAAACCUAGUCAUCAGAAACAGUCUGAACAACUCAUCUUCUAAUUCCUCAUCAGAAAAAUCACCAGGUUUCUUAUUAGGCACAUUAUUGUUAGAAAAAGGAGGACACCAUGGUUCACUCUGAUUGAAUUUGUCUACCAGCUCAGGAUUUCUUGACACAAAAUACAAAU